GACGAACCGAGCGACCGUUGUUCGGAAUCACUGGGCUUAAAGGGCGCGUAGGCGGGUGCUCAAGUCUGUGGUGAAAUCCUCCGGCUCAACCGGAGAACUGCCAUGGAUACUGGGUGCCUCGAGGGUGGUAGGGGUAUGCGGAACUAUCGGUGGAGCGGUGAAAUGCGUUGAUAUCGAUAGGAACUCCGGUGGCGAAGGCGGCAUACUGGACCACUUCUGACGCUGAGGCGCGAAAGCCAGGGGAGCAAACGGG
rnacentral:rRNA from 1 species